AAACCAGCACCUCAAGUGGUCAGGAGGUUUAUUGGGCCUAAAGCAUCCGUAGCCUGAUCUGUAAGUUUUCGGUUAAAUCUGUACGCUCAACGUACAGGCUGCCGGGAAUACUGCAGAUCUAGGGAGUGGGAGAGGUAGACGGUACUCGGGAGGAAGUGGUAAAAUGCUUUGAUCUCUCGAUGACCACCUGUGGCGAAGGCGGUCUACCAGAACACGUCCGACGGUGAGGGAUGAAAGCUGGGGGAGCAAACCGGAUUAGAAACCCGAGUAGUCC
rnacentral:rRNA from 1 species